CGCCGACAGUCCCUUUAAUGCCGAGCUAAGCUGGGAGCAAGACAAAAACAUAAAGAAAGGAAGGAUCCAGUUUGGCCGCUGUUACCCUGGUCUGUCAGAAGGAGCUUUAAACUUCAUGAAGAGCAGCCUGAAUAACAAAUCCUGGGCGAGACCCACUGCGGCUGAGUGUCUCCAGAACUCGUGGCUACGCGCCCAUCGCGCUCCGCGCAAGGUCCGACCCUCUAAGGUGUGCUUCUCCACUGACAAGCUCAGAGCUUACCUCAAGCAGAAAGAGGAGAAACGAGAUCAAGUGUGCACAAAGCAUCAGGGUCCAUUCUUCCAGUGAGGUAAAAAACCUAAUAAACAAAACUUUUCUGAACAAAAAACUUUAUUGCUAUUUUUGCUAUUAUAUAUUUUUUUCUGUUAAAUAAAACCCAAGUUAGCUUCAUAAAAUGAUAUAGCCUGAUUUUAAAUGUGUCUUAAUGAGUCUCGGUUUGUGAAAUCUAUUUUGAUUCGGUUUUGAUGAAAACAUAUCAGGGAUUUGUAAGGACUGCACGUUGAUACAUGAGUUGUGAGGUUGUGGUUGUCUCAUAAAGAGAUUCGCUGUGCUUCUCUGCUAAAGUAUGAAUUAGAUGCACAUGCUUGGUCUUACAUUUAAAAUGUUUUUUGUGUUUUAAUUAAAACAAAUAUAUUUCAGAAAUAUUUUCAAAACUUCAUUACUCAUACGUUUUCAAUGAAUGAAAAGUAAAUAGAUAAACUAUGUUAUUUUGGAUGACAUCAUGUCUUGAAGUGAAUGGAAAAAAUGUAAUAAAUGAUGCUAGAAGUGC